UACGUAGGGUGCAAGCGUUGUCCGGAAUUAUUGGGCGUAAAGAGUUCGUAGGCGGUCUGUCGCGUCUGCUGUGAAAACUCGGGGCUUAACCCCGGGCCUGCAGUGGGUACGGGCAGACUAGAGUGCGGUAGGGGAGACUGGAAUUCCUGGUGUAGCGGUGAAAUGCGCAGAUAUCAGGAGGAACGCCGGUGGCGAAGGCGGGUCUCUGGGCCGUAACUGACGCUGAGGAGCGAAAGCGUGGGGAGCAAACAGG
rnacentral:rRNA from 1 species